AGUAUUAAUAGAAUGCAUACUAAUUUCAUUGAAAUUAAAUUUUUUAUAUUAAAUCUCAAGAAAUGGCUAACAAAAAAUACAAAUAAAAAAAGCAGCAUGAUGAGGGAAACACCUAAAGGAGUAAGAUAUGAGAUGGAAAAUGAAAAGAGACACAACAGAAGCAAAUUGAAGUGGAGAAUGCACCAUCCUCUCAAAUGGGCAUCUAAUCAUCCAAAUUGAUUCCUACUCCUUCCACCCAUUGCCAAUCCAUUCAGAAACUCUUGUUUCUAACAGAGUACUGUGCUUCUCUCUUAGGCCAUGAUAUUCUCCUUCAUUUCUCUACCACUUAUGUAAUUGAAGAUAUUUAGACAAUUACCUAACGAUUAUCAAUGGCCUUUUGCAUAAAUUCUGAUCCAAAGCAGAUUAGCCUUUGAUAUUCAGGAUCUUAUAAUAUGUUGUAGAUAUGUGCUUAAUUAGAUCUAAGUAGAGAAAAGAUUAACCUAUUCUCAUUCUAAAUCUUC
rnacentral:lncRNA from 1 species